GGGAAUGAAGAUGAUGGAAUAAUGGUGAUGGCAGAAGGUGGCGGAGGGAAGAUAUGCACAAUACCAUAUUCGUUUACGAAUUGCAACGACGAUAAGUGCAAAGCUUCAUGUGUGGAUCAAAACAAAGGCACUUACGGCCAAUGCUCUGGCUCUACAAUUUGUCUUUGCUUUAAACCAUGUUGAUAAUUAGUAAUUAACUCAAAAUUAAUUACUAUUCAUAUAUAUUUAUAUAUACAUAUAUGUAUUUAACUACAAUAAAUGGUAUUUAGUUAUCAUAAAACUUAUUUUUUCCGGU
rnacentral:lncRNA from 1 species